rnacentral:rRNA from 1 species
AGAGUUUGAUCAUGGCUCAGAUUGAACGCUGGCGGCAGGCCUAACACAUGCAAGUCGAACGGUAACAGGAAGCAGCUUGCUGCUUUGCUGACGAGUGGCGGACGGGUGAGUAAUGUCUGGGAAACUGCCUGAUGGAGGGGGAUAACUACUGGAAACGGUGGCUAAUACCGCAUAACGUCGCAAGACCAAAGAGGGGGACCUUCGGGCCUCUUGCCAUCAGAUGUGCCCAGAUGGGAUUAGCUUGUUGGUGAGGUAACGGCUCACCAAGGCGACGAUCCCUAGCUGGUCUGAGAGGAUGACCAGCCACACUGGAACUGAGACACGGCCCAGACUCCUACGGGAGGCAGCAGUGGGGAAUAUUGCACAAUGGGCGCAAGCCUGAUGCAGCCAUGCCGCGUGUAUGAAGAAGGCCUUCGGGUUGUAAAGUACUUUCAGCGGGGAGGAAGGUGUUGUGGUUAAUAACCGCAGCAAUUGACGUUACCCGCAGAAGAAGCACCGGCUAACUCCGUGCCAGCAGCCGCGGUAAUACGGAGGGUGCAAGCGUUAAUCGGAAUUACUGGGCGUAAAGCGCACGCAGGCGGUCUGUCAAGUCGGAUGUGAAAUCCCCGGGCUCAACCUGGGAACUGCAUUCGAAACUGGCAGGCUUGAGUCUUGUAGAGGGGGGUAGAAUUCCAGGUGUAGCGGUGAAAUGCGUAGAGAUCUGGAGGAAUACCGGUGGCGAAGGCGGCCCCCUGGACAAAGACUGACGCUCAGGUGCGAAAGCGUGGGGAGCAAACAGGAUUAGAUACCCUGGUAGUCCACGCCGUAAACGAUGUCUACUUGGAGGUUGUGCCCUUGAGGCGUGGCUUCCGGAGCUAACGCGUUAAGUAGACCGCCUGGGGAGUACGGCCGCAAGGUUAAAACUCAAAUGAAUUGACGGGGGCCCGCACAAGCGGUGGAGCAUGUGGUUUAAUUCGAUGCAACGCGAAGAACCUUACCUGGUCUUGACAUCCACAGAAGAAUCCAGAGAUGGAUUUGUGCCUUCGGGAACUGUGAGACAGGUGCUGCAUGGCUGUCGUCAGCUCGUGUUGUGAAAUGUUGGGUUAAGUCCCGCAACGAGCGCAACCCUUAUCCUUUGUUGCCAGCGGUUAGGCCGGGAACUCAAAGGAGACUGCCAGUGAUAAACUGGAGGAAGGUGGGGAUGACGUCAAGUCAUCAUGGCCCUUACGACCAGGGCUACACACGUGCUACAAUGGCGCAUACAAAGAGAAGCGACCUCGCGAGAGCAAGCGGACCUCAUAAAGUGCGUCGUAGUCCGGAUUGGAGUCUGCAACUCGACUCCAUGAAGUCGGAAUCGCUAGUAAUCGUGGAUCAGAAUGCCACGGUGAAUACGUUCCCGGGCCUUGUACACACCGCCCGUCACACCAUGGGAGUGGGUUGCAAAAGAAGUAGGUAGCUUAACCUUCGGGAGGGCGCUUACCACUUUGUGAUUCAUGACUGGGGUGAAGUCGUAACAAGGUAACCGUAGGGGAACCUGCGGUUG